ACCGUGAGGGAAAGGUGAAAAGAACCCCGAACAGGGGAGUGAAAUAGAACCUGAAACCAUACGCUUACAACCUGUCGGAGCGGCUUCGUGCCGUGACGGCGUGCCUAUUGAAUAAUGAGCCUACGAGUUACUAAUCACUGGCAAGGUUAAGUGCACGGAUGCACGGAGCCGAAGCGAAAGCGAGUCUGAAUAGGGCGUUUAGUCAGUGGUUGUAGACGCGAAACCUUGCGAUCUACCCUUGAGCAGGUUGAAGGUUGGGUAAAACCAACUGGAGGACCGAACGAAUAAGCGUUGAAAAGCUUCUCGAUGACUUGAGGGUAGGGGUGAAAGGCUAAUCAAGCUGGGAAAUAGCUCGUACUCCCCGAAAUGCCUUUAGGGGCAGCGUUGUAAUUAAGAGUCUACUGGAGGUAGAGCUACUGAUUGGAUGCGGGGGCUUCACCGCCUACCAAAUCCUGACAAACUCCGAAUGCCAGUAGUAUGAUUUACAGCAGUGAGCGACCGGGUGCUAAUGUCCGGUUACGAGAGUGGAACAACACAGACCAGCAACUAAGGUCCCCAAGAGUAUACUAAGUUGAUCUAACGAUGUUUUGCUGCAGAGACAGCUAGGAUGUUAGCUUGGAAGCAGCUAUUCAUUCAAAGAGUGCGUAACAGCUCACUAGUCGAGCGGCAAAGCGUGGAUAAUAAACGGGCAUCAAGUAUACCACCGAAGUUCUGGGCACGAAAGUGCGGUAGGGGAGCAUUCCAUUCCGCGUUGAAGCCGAACCGUGAGGUUUGGUGGAGUGUAUGGAAAAGCAAAUGUAGGCAUGAGUAACGAUAAUGCGGGAGAGUAACCCGCACACCGCAAGACCAAGGUUUCCUGAUCAACGCUAAUCGGAUCAGGGUUAGUCGGGUCCUAAGGGUAAGCCGAACGGUGAUCUCGAUGGAUAAUCGGUUAAUAUUCCGAUACUGACAUAUACCUCGAUGGAGAGACGAAGGAACGUAAGUGCCGCCACCUGACGGAAUAGGUGGUUAAAGGGCUUAGGUAUAGGGGCAGAUUAAGAGUUAGUCCUUGCUGAAACCUGACAGUACAGAGAGCCUACGGGCAAUUUGAUAGUGCACCCAAGUCGACUUCCGAGAAAAUCUUCUAAGUUAUAGUAUAUGUCACCCGUACCGUAAACCGACACAGGUGGUCGAGGAGAGUAUCCUAAGGUGCUCGAGUGAAUCACGGUUAAGGAACUAGGCAAAUUAACCCCGUAACUUCGGGAAAAGGGGUCCCAUCGCGAGGUGGGCGCAGCGAAGAGGUUCAGGCGACUGUUUAUCAAAAACACAGGGCUCUGCAAAUUCGAAAGAAGACGUAUAGGGCCUGACACCUGCCCGGUGCUGGAAGGUUAAGAGGGGAUGUCAUCGCAAGAGAAGCAUUGAAUCGAAGCCCCAGUAAACGGCGGCCGUAACUAUAACGGUCCUAAGGUAGCGAAAUUCCUUGUCGGGUAAGUUCCGACCUGCACGAAUGGUGUAACGAUCUGGACACUGUCUCAACCGUGAGCUCGGUGAAAUUGUAGUCCCGGUGAUGAUGCCGGGUACCCGCAACGGGACGAAAAGACCCCGUGAACCUUUACUAUAGCUUAACGCUGAAUUUGGGUACACAAUGUGUAGGAUAGGCAGGAGACUACGAAGCGGGCACGCCAGUGUUCGUGGAGUCGACGUUGAAAUACUGCCCUUUGUGUACUUGAGUUCUAACCCUCGAGAGGGGACACCGUUUGGUGGGUAGUUUGACUGGGGUGGUCGCCUCCAAAAGAGUAACGGAGGCUUCCCAAGGUACCCUCAGCACGAAUGGUAACCGUGCGUAGAGUGCAAUAGCAUAAGGGUGCUUGACUGUGAGACCAACAAGUCGAUCAGGUGCGAAAGCAGGGUAUAGUGAUCCGGUGGUUCUGCGUGGACUGGCCAUCGCUCAAAGGAUAAAAGG
rnacentral:rRNA from 1 species